rnacentral:rRNA from 1 species
CAAAAUAGAUCCGUAACUUCGGGAUAAGGAUUGGCUCUAAGGGUUAGGUGCAUUGGGCCUGGUUUGGAAGGGUUAGGACCCGGCUGGAACUGCUUUGGGCAACCGAGGUGGAUCUGGCUGGGACCCGAUUUGGAAGAACUAGGCUGCCUUCGGGCGUCCGGUGUACAUUUAAUAACCAACUUAGAACUGGUACGGACAAGGGGAAUCUGACUGUCUAAUUAAAACAUAGCAUUGCGAUGGCCAGAAAGUGGUGUUGACGCAAUGUGAUUUCUGGCCAGUGCUCUGAAUGUCAAAGUG